rnacentral:rRNA from 1 species
AACGCGAAGAACCUUACCUGGUCUUGACAUCCACAGAACCUGGCAGAGAUGCCGGGGUGCCUUCGGGAACUGUGAGACAGGUGCUGCAUGGCUGUCGUCAGCUCGUGUUGUGAAAUGUUGGGUUAAGUCCCGCAACGAGCGCAACCCUUAUCCUUUGUUGCCAGCGGUCCGGCCGGGAACUCAAAGGAGACUGCCAGUGAUAAACUGGAGGAAGGUGGGGAUGACGUCAAGUCAUCAUGGCCCUUACGACCAGGGCUACACACGUGCUACAAUGGCGCAUACAAAGAGAAGCGACCUCGCGAGAGCAAGCGGACCUCAUAAAGUGCGUCGUAGUCCGGAUUGGAGUCUGCAACUCGACUCCAUGAAGUCGGAAUCGCUAGUAAUCGUGAAUCAGAAUGUCACGGUGAAUACGUUCCCGGGCCUUGUACACACCG